UUCCACGACUACUGGUCUGCACCUGUUCUCAGGGUAGCAGCUGUGGCACUCCACUGUGGGAGUGAAAUGGUCACACAAUCAAACACUUCUUUCUUAGCAAAACAGAAAGUGGGCAUAUAUGUGACAGACAUGA